AUGGCUGGAAAUAAUGUGUUAAUAUCCACCACUGGGAGCACUAACUUGGCUGACUCUUCCAUUUUCAAUGCUAAAAUUUACUGAAACCUCCAAGGAAAACUCAUACUUCACAUUUUGAAGAAUAAAUGCCUCAGAUGGAAGAGAGUGAUAUUGAUUCAAGAACCUGGAAAACAAAAACUUAUAAGAGGCAUGAAGACUAUUAAUAUAAUGGAAGUCUUUGUUAUGAAGAUAAAGUUGUCUUGGAAAAUCACAUGAAACAAUAAAAAGUGUUAUUAAUAUGGAAAUUAAAAUGUGCUGUGUGAAGGAGUCAGUGGAUGAAUUUGAAGGUUUGGAUUCUCCGGAAUUUGAAAAUUUAUUCAUGGUCUUGAACUUUAGGGUUUCACUUUUAAUGACCUGUGCAAGGCUGAGUGUAGAGUUAGUGCAGCACCAGUUGUAUUCAAUUGUUCACAUAAAG
rnacentral:lncRNA from 1 species